rnacentral:rRNA from 1 species
UACGGGGGGGGCAAGCGUUGUUCGGAAUUACUGGGCGUAAAGGGUGUGUAGGCGGUUGUUUAAGUUUGGUGUGAAAUCUCCCGGCUCAACUGGGAGGGUGCGCCGAAUACUGAAUGACUUCGAGUACGGGAGAGGAAAGUGGAAUUCCUGGUGCAGCGGUGAAAUGCGUAGAUAUCAGGAGGAACACCGGUGGUGUAGACGGCUUUCUGGACCGUAACUGACGCUGAGACACGAAAGCGUGGGUAGCAAACAGG